AGUCUGAGAGGUCGGAGGCUGCGGUGUUGCUGCUGAAGGGUGGACCGGGCUGGAUCGCGGAUUCUGGGCUAGAUCGCAGAGGAGGUGCCUAAUGAGAGAACUCAUUCCCCUAUCAAAAAAUACCUGGAGUCAUUUUUCAGUGGCGAAAAGUUCUCAGAACUACUCUACAUUAGGCCUGUGCCAAUGCCUGUGGGGAAGGGGUCACUCUCCUGCUGAGCAGAAAAUGCCAGACUGACGUUUGUGACAAUCAAAACAGUACGCCUUUGAUACAGGCUGCACAUUGGCGGGAAGAGACUUGUGCCAACAUUCUGCUGGAACACGGCGCCAAUCCAAAUCUUAAGGAUAUCUACGGCAACACUGCUCUCCAUUAUGCUGAGUGUAAUGAGAGUACGUCACUGGCAGAAAAACUGCUUCCCCAUGAUGCAAAUAUUGAAGCACUGGACAAGUGACCCAUUUGGAGCAGCAGUGCCUGACAUUAGCACCUGGGAUCCUGACACCAUUGACAGAAGUGAAUCAAGCAGGUUUGUACCACACAGAGGAAACCUUCACCUCUAUUGGGAAGCUCUGGCAACAGUAUCUCUGAAACUCUUAAUUCCUCAAUUGUUAAUGUUUGCCACAAAACUAUUGUCAUGAAGUUGAGGUGUGUUGAAGUUGGGGCUCUGAGGUUGGAUACCAGUGUGCAGAUGCAGGUGACUUGUGCCCCAGCACUGGGCUGCCUGGCUGUGCCCUGAGCUUGUCUGACCUUCAGUCUGUGCUGGGUUGGAACCUGCUCUAGAGGUUUCCAGAUCUCUUCUUUUCACCCUCCACCCCACCAGACCCUCAGGCCUUUUCUGUGCUCACUUCCCAAGCUCCCCUUGGACUCUGCUCCAGAGUACAAGCCAGCCCCACCUGGGACCUUGACUGCCACUUCACCCCCAUUGCUCUUCUGAGCCUGUGGUGACGAUAUGUCCAGACCCCUUUCUGCCCCGGAGCUGCAGUGGGUCUCAGAGGAGCCCAGCUGUACCCCACAGUCUACCCUGGGGAGCUGGAGACACAUCUGAUACUGUCACUGCAGGGGGUGCCCCAUGUGGCAGCUGCUCUGCCGGGGCUGCCUGACCCAUCCCCAGCUGUAACUCCCAUGUCACUGGUAUGCACAGGCACUCAGCUCUUUGACUUUGUCACAUCCACGUUCUUGUUUGGUGGCACCAGGUCCCGGCAGGGCUGAGGGAAGAACCCUUUGAAACUCAGUUGUCUGUGUCCAGCAAGGAUGGGUGUGAGGCCUCAUGCAUCCAGCAUCAGGGAAACCUCGCCAGGUGUUGCUCCCAAGUAGGUGCCCAUUGCAGUGCCUGCCCCUGCCGGUGGGCACUGCCUGAGCUAAAUCCCUGUCUCACCUUCCCGGACCUUCACCUGGUUUCAGGGCUCCUCAGCCAUCCGCAUGCCACUGAAACAUCAAAGAGGUUGUGAGGAAGAUUCUGGGGCACCUGCCUUCUAGAGGGGGCUGAGGGCAGCUGUGGACGGUUAUUUAUGGGGAUGUUUUUGACCUGGGCCGCAAGCAGGUGGGUAAGUGGCACAGGGAUGGCAGCUCAAGGUGCCCUGGCUUCUCUGCAUGCCUGUCAGUGAGUGGAGGAACCCAGGCCGGCCACCAGGUUCCGUCCUAGCUUAUUCUCUAUCCUCAGGGAAUAAUUCUUUGUGUCCUCAGGUGAGGUACCUACCCUGUCUCUGCCUCAGUUUCUUCCUCUGUGAGACAGGGAUCCUAACAGGCCCUACCUCUGACAGUGGUUUUGAUGAAGUACGCGAUGUGGGUGAAGCACCUGGAGCAGCCCACUCUCGAAGAACGCACCACAGACUCUCAAGGUUCAUGUUGAAAGGGGGCUGGGGCGGGGCAAAAGUGGGCAGGCCAUUUCAGCUCCAGGCACCUGGGCUGACAGAUUGGGUUAAAUUAGCAUGUGCCUUGCUGAGUGCACAGGGGACAGUUGUCCAGGCAAGAGGCACCAGGGUCAAAGCUGGUGAUGCCUUGGCCUCGUCACCCUAGGUUAGGGCCAGUGCAUGAUGUAGUCAGCCAGGGGAGGGCUCUGGAGCCCUGCAGCCGAGGGGGCCUGGUGACCCUCUCAAGGUUAUUCACCAGCCGCUAGGGUGGCCUGCGCUUUUCUAGCCAGGCCUCACUCUAGGAAAAAAAAAAAAAUCGAUUGUAACCUUGUUGGCAGUUUCCUUUGCAUAGAAGUGGGAAGUCGCUGCUAGCGAGGCUGGUGAUGAACUCUGCAAAAGCUGGGAAAUCUGGUUUGAGCAGGAGCGCCCGUUAUCUUGGCCAAGCUGCUGCAGCUGGGCUGGCGGGUGUGGAAGUGUGGGUGGUGGUCAUGGUGCUGUUUGGGGCCCAGGCCCCUCAGAGCAGAAGACUGGGCCUGUGUGCAGAAGGCAGCCUUGGGGUGCUGGCUCCCCUAGUGCCCAGUUGCUGAUGAAACCUCAGCCAUGCCCUGACCCCUUCCCACCCGUGGCAGAGGGCUGUGUGUCUUCUAAGGGUAUCAGGAGGCUCAGGUCCUGUUCAUGGUUCCACCAUGAGUGUGAGAGGCAAAUUCGGGGCCUCCAUGUCUUGGCACGGAAUGAGGAGAGGGAUGUCUGUGUUCUGCGGUGGGUGGCUAAGGCAGAGUCUUGAAGGAAGAAGCCUCCAGAAGAAAGGAUGAUGCAGAGAUGGUGGCACCUUCAGGGCUAGGGCCAGCUCCCAUCUCUGCUCCUCCUCCCGCUGCUCCUCCAGGUCACCCCUCUCCCAGCUGGGGGCCCAGGAGGAGAGCAGUCUGCAGGGACCCUGCACCCCACCCGGGGUCCCCUGCUCUACAUUUUGGGAAGAAGGAAUUGAAGUCUGGGACUCAGGCUGCACUGCCAUGAUAGUGACAGUUAUCCUUAUUGGACACCAGGGAGGUAGCCCUUGGCAUUUAUUGAGUGGCCAGUGUAUGCACUAGGCUGUCCAUGGAUCUUCAGAGGCCAGUGUUUUCUUGAUGGUCUGACAGAGGCUUAAACUGAGGGCAUUAGGAAUGAGACAGGCUGUCGGAUUUUCCAGAUGGAGGGACUGACUUGUAAGUGAGUGCAGCUGGGCUGUGUAGCCAUGAACUGAGGCAGUUGGCUCCCAAAAUGAGGCUCCUGUGGACCACCCAGUCCAGCCUGCCCCAGGCCUUUGCUCCUCACCUGCUCAGUGCUGGGCAUUGGGCCAUGACGGGCUGGGCGAUCUGAUGCCUUGUUAUGCCCUUUCCUUUUGUGUUUAGACACAACCGCCCAGCAUGCCUGCUGCAGUAGAGAUCGUACGACUGACAGAACGGAAGCUUUGUGACACUAAGGUGCCAAAUUACAAACAGCACCUAAGGCCACGCCAGGCAAGGGUUGAGUCACACACGCCUUGACUUAAAGAAUAAACUGUUCUGAUUGCCACAGGGCUUUCUUUUUCUCUAGCAGCUAAAUAAGCACUAUUAAAACCAUGGUAACUCAGCACCAGACACUGACUGACUGGCCCCCAAACCCUGUUCUAGCAGCUGUAACUGCAGCUCUGAUGGGACAGGAGGCUGUUUUUAGUAACUUUCUUGUAUUAAGAGCCCACCCACCAU